AUUGAACGCUGGCGGCAUGCCUUACACAUGCAAGUCGAACGGUAACAGGUCUUCGGACGCUGACGAGUGGCGAACGGGUGAGUAAUGCAUCGGAACGUGCCCAGUCGUGGGGGAUAACUGCUCGAAAGAGCAGCUAAUACCGCAUACGACCUGAGGGUGAAAGCGGGGGACCGUAAGGCCUCGCGCGAUUGGAGCGGCCGAUGUCAGAUUAGCUAGUUGGUGGGGUAAAGGCCUACCAAGGCAACGAUCUGUAGUUGGUCUGAGAGGACGACCAGCCACACUGGGACUGACACACGGCCCAGACUCCUACGGGAGGCAGCAGUGGGGAAUUUUGGACAAUGGGCGCAAGCCUGAUCCAGCAAUGCCGCGUGCAGGAAGAAGGCCUUCGGGUUGUAAACUGCUUUUGUCAGGGAAGAAAUCUUCUGGGCUAAUACCCCGGGAGGAUGACGGUACCUGAAGAAUAAGCACCGGCUAACUACGUG
rnacentral:rRNA from 1 species